rnacentral:rRNA from 1 species
UGGGGAAUAUUGGACAAUGGGCGCAAGCCUGAUCCAGCAAUGCCGCGUGUGUGAAGAAGGCCCUCGGGUUGUAAAGCACUUUUAUCAGGAGCGAAAUCUGCAAGGCUAAUACCCUUGUAGUCUGACGGUACCUGAGGAAUAAGCACCGGCUAACUCCGUGCCAGCAGCCGCGGUAAUACGGAGGGUGCAAGCGUUAAUCGGAAUUACUGGGCGUAAAGCGUGUGUAGGCGGUUUGUUAAGUCUGUUGUGAAAGCCCCGGGCUCAACCUGGGAAUGGCAAUGGAUACUGGCAAGCUAGAGUGUGAUAGAGGAUGGUGGAAUUCCCGGUGUAGCGGUGAAAUGCGUAGAGAUCGGGAGGAACAUCAGUGGCGAAGGCGGCCAUCUGGAUCAACACUGACGCUGAGACAGCGAAAGCGUGGGGGAGCAAACAGGAUUAGAUACCCUGGUAGUCCACGCCCUAAACGAUGCGAACUGGAUGUUGGUCUCAACUCGGAGAUCAGUGUCGAAGCUAACGCGUUAAGUUCGCCGCCUGGGGAGUACGGUCGCAAGACUGAAACUCAAAUGAAUUGACGGGGUCAUAGCUGUUUCCUG